CGAAACAACAAAAGCAGACAAAGCAGUCACUGCAACAGUAAAAACACCAGUAGCUUUCACGUUCACACCAGCAGAUUUACCAGUACUCUUCUCCGCCGCAGUCGACGGCGCAUCAGCCGGAGCACCAUCUGGACUCUCACCAGCCGGAGCCGGAGGCGAGGCUGGCAAUGGAGUAGGUGCAUCCGCCGGUGAAGGAGCAGAAGCAGGUGUCGGUGAAGGUGCACCAGCAGGCUCCGGCGCCGGAGAAGGUGAAGUAGCAAACAGCUCCGAUGGAAGAAGCACACUAUCAACAGAGUAAAUAGCAAGAGGAGUAGAAUCCAAAAUCGAAUCAGCAAUUCUCGAAGAAUCAACUCCGGUAUGAAGUGUAACAGAAUCACCGGCAGUGGUAACAGUGUAAUCAAAUUUCCCGGCACCGUUGGUAGCUAAACUAGAAAUAGGAUCUUUCGUAGUUUUCAAAGAUCCAAUGGGAAGAUAUUUAGCAGCAGCAUGAUACUGUAAAAGUGAAACCAAUUCAGCAUUUGAAAGCUUGGUUAAAUCUGGAACGCCUUUCGCUUUAAAAGCUUCAUCGUUCGGAGCAAAAAUCGUUAAACCUUUAUCAGCCGUUGAUUGAAAUGUUUUGAUUAAGCCGUUGGAAGAUAUAAGGGAUGCAAAUGUUUUGCAACCGGCUUUUUCUAUUAAAGCGGUAAGGUUAACGGAGGAGGAAGGUGGUGGAGCGGUUAGGAUACCGGGAGCGAUGAUCGGAGCUGUGAUUUCGAGAACGGAGAUAUUGUAAGGGAUUUGUUUAACGGAUUUGGAGUAAGAUGAGUCGAGUUUAGAGCCGGGAGCAGCGGAGCCGAAGCCGACUUUACCGCCUUUCAAGUCGGUGAUGUUAACGGAUCCGAUGUUGUUGACGGCGUUGCCGGUGGUUUGGAAGAGGGUAGUGGAGAGAGUGGUGCCAUUGGUGAGUUGGUGAAGUUUAGUGUUGUCGAAGUAGUCGAGGAGGAUUAAGAGGGAGAGGAUUUUUUUGACGACGGAGAGAGGGUGGGAGGAGGUGAUGGAAGAGAAUGCGGCGUUGUUGAGGACUAAGACGGUGAUGGUUUGGCGGGAGUUGAUUUCGUCGGCGAGUUUGGUUUGGGAAAGGAAGUUGUUGUAUUGGGAGUAGUCAGGGUUGGAGGAGAGGAUUUCGGUGAUGUUGUGGGCGGAGAUUGUGGUGGCGAUGGAGAGGAUGAGGAGGAGGAGGGUGAGAGAGUGGUUACCCAUUUUGGAGAGAGAGAGAGAGAGAGAGAUGGUUUGAGUGUGGAAAGUGAAGUGGAAGAGUGGGAGUUAAAGGCGGUGGUGUCUGUUCUGUUUGUAUGUAGUAUACUAUGUGAGUGUGUGCGUGUCUGUGGGGUUUGCUUCUUUAACCAUGGUUAUGGUUUGUUAGUUACGGGUUGGAAUAUGAAGUGUAAGAGCAUAUCUGCACUUUAUUAAAAAAAAAAAAAACAGAAGGAUUAUACUUUAAUGGAGAAUGCUAACCAACACUCU
rnacentral:lncRNA from 1 species